UAGGGAAUCUUGGACAAUGGGCGAAAGCCUGAUCCAGCCAUGCCGCGUGAGUGAUGAAGGCCUUAGGGUUGUAAAGCUCUUUCGCCAGGGAAGAUAAUGACGGUACCUGGAUAAGAAGCCCCGGCUAACUUCGUGCCAGCAGCCGCGGUAAUACGAAGGGGGCUAGCGUUGUUCGGAAUUACUGGGCGUAAAGCGCACGUAGGCGGCUUUCCAAGUUGGAGGUGAAAUCCCCGGGCUUAACCCGGGAACUGCCUCCAAAACUGAAAGGCUAGAGUCCGAGAGAGGUGAGUGGAAUUUCCAGUGUAGAGGUUAAAUUCGUAGAUAUUGGAAAGAACACCAGUGGCGAAGGCGGCUCACUGGCUCGGUACUGACGCUGAGGUGCGACAGCGUGGGGAGCAAACA
rnacentral:rRNA from 1 species